UGGCUUCCAUCUGGAAGAAUCUGGAGACAGGUGCUGCAUGGCUGUCGUCAGCUCGUGUCGUGAGAUGUUGGGUUAAGUCCCGCAACGAGCGCAACCCUAUCAUCUGUUGCCAGCAUUUAAGGUGGGGACGUCAGAUGAGACUGCCGGUGACAAACCGGAGGAAGUGGGGACGACGUCAAGUCAUCAUGGCCCUUAUGUCCUGGGCUACACACGUGCUACAAUGGCCGGUACAGAGUGAAGCGAAACCGCGAGGUGAAGCAAAACGCAGAAAGCCGGUCUCAGUACGGAUUGGAGUCUGAAACUCGACUUCAUGAAGUUGGAAUCGCUAGUAAUCGCGCAUCAGCAUGGCGCGGUGAAUACGUUCCCGGGCCUU
rnacentral:rRNA from 1 species